CCGAGGAAAAGAAAUCAACCGAGAUUCCCCCAGUAGCGGCGAGCGAACGGGGAGCAGCCCAGAGUCUGAAUCAGCUUGUGUGUUAGUGGAACGGUCUGGAAAGUCCGACGGUACAGGGUGAUAGUCCCGUACACCAAAAUGCACAGGCUGUGAACUCGAAGAGUAGGGCGGGACACGUGGUAUCCUGUCUGAAUAUGGGGGGACCAUCCUCCAAGGCUAAAUACUCCUGACUGACCGAUAGUGAACCAGUACCGUGAGGGAAAGGCGAAAAGAACCCCGGCGAGGGGAGUGAAAAAGAACCUGAAACCGUGUACGUACAAGCAGUGGGAGCACCUUCGGGUGUGACUGCGUACCUUUUGUAUAAUGGGUCAGCGACUUAUAUUCUGUAGCAAGGUUAACCGUAUAGGGGAGCCGCAGGGAAACCGAGUCUUAACUGGGCGUUAAGUUGCAGGGUAUAGACCCGAAACCCGGUGAUCUAGCCAUGGGCAGGUUGAAGGUUGGGUAACACUAACUGGAGGACCGAACCGACUAAUGUUGAAAAAUUAGCGGAUGACUUGUGGCUGGGGGUGAAAGGCCAAUCAAACCGGGAGAUAGCUGGUUCUCCCCGAAAGCU
rnacentral:rRNA from 1 species